CAGCUAGUAAGUGGACUAGUUAUGAUUCAGUCUAAGUGACUUAAAAUCUGUGCUCCUUAUGUCAUACCAUUUUGUCAUUGUUACAGUGUUAUUGGGAUAGAUAAGAAAAUGAAUAUUAACAUGUCUUUUGCAUAAUGUCCGGUACAUUACAGGCUCUAUAAAUAUUAUAUGGUAGCAAUGAUAUAAAGAACUUGUAUCAGUCAGGGUUGACAGAAAAAUGAAAACCUCCAGCUAUUUCAAACAAAGAAAAAAUUAUACAGGGAUCUCCUGUAUUAGCUUGGGCUCCCAUAACAAAAUACAGCUGACUGAGUAGCUUAAACAACAGCAUUUUUUUUUCUCUCAGAUUUCUGGAGUUUGCAAAGUCAAGGAUCAAGGUGCCAUCCUAUCAUUUCCUGGUAAGGGCUCUCUUCCUGGCUUGCAGUUGAACAACAUCUUACUGUGUCUUUACAAGAUACUCCAUGUUCUUUUGAUUCUACGCCUUGGUCCUUUCUUCGUGUUAUUUUCUCUGCUCAGAACUGAUUUUCCACCUGACUGCUGAGACAGAAGAUAAAUGGAACCAGGUGGGCUGCUAUUUCAGACGUGAGCAGAAGUGUUUUCUGAAUCUGUGAACAUUAUGAAAGAAACUGGAUGGAAUUUGG
rnacentral:lncRNA from 1 species